CAAUAUGACAACCGGUAUGAGUGCUGC
rnacentral:sRNA from 1 species